GGUUGAAAUAACUCCUUAAUUAUAUUUAAUUACAGAGCUGCAAAAAUCGACCAUUAACCUUGAGCAUUUAUACUGCCCAGUCCGUACAUUUUAUUCCUGGCGGCCGGCCUUACCAUACAAAUUCUUUGCAGAGUUUGAAGAGUUAGGGAUGAAACACCGCACGUAGUGAGCGUCUAUGACUAGGAAGCUAAAAUCCAGAGAAACUGCACCUGUUUGUUCUUCCUCUAAAUUGAC